GACGAACGCUGGCGGCGUGCUUAACACAUGCAAGUCGAACGAUGAAGCGGGUGCUUGCACUCGUGGAUUAGUGGCGAACGGGCGAGUAACACGUGAGUAACCUGUCCUUUUCUUUGGGAUAACGGCUGGAAACGGCUGCUAAUACUGGAUAUUCAGGCUGCAUCGCAUGGUGUGGUUUGGAAAGGUUUUUUCUGGGAUUGGGUGGGCUCGCGGCCUAUCAGCUUGUUGGUGGGGUGAUGGGUUACGAAGGCUUUGACGGGUAGCCGGCCUGGGAGGGUGGUCGGGCGCGGUGGGACUGAGAUACGGCCCAGACUCCUACGGGAGGCAGCAGGGGGGAAUAUGGCACAAUGGACGAAAGUUUGAUGCAGCGACUGCGCGUGGAGGGUGUAGGCCUUCGGGUUGUGAACUCCUUUUUCACGCGAAAAAGGCACAGUUUUGGCUGUGUUGAUGGUAGUGGGGGAAGAAGCGCCGGCUAACUACGUG
rnacentral:rRNA from 1 species